UACAGAGGGUGCAAGCGUUGUUCGGAAUUAUUGGGCGUAAAGCGCGUGUAGGCGGCUUUGCAAGUCGGGUGUGAAAGCCCUCAGCUCAACUGAGGAAGUGCGCCCGAAACUGCAGAGCUUGAGUGCCGGAGAGGGUGGCGGAAUUCCCCAAGUAGAGGUGAAAUUCGUAGAUAUCAAGCAGAACACCUGCGGCGAAGGCGGCCUUCUGGACGAUGACUGACGCUGAGACGCGAAAGCGUGGGGAGCAACAGG
rnacentral:rRNA from 1 species